rnacentral:rRNA from 1 species
GACGAACGCUGGCGGCGUGCUUAACACAUGCAAGUCGAACGGAAAGGCCCUGCUUUUGUGGGGUGCUCGAGUGGCGAACGGGUGAGUAACACGCGAGUAACCUGCCCUUGACUUUGGGAUAACUUCAGGAAACUGGGGCUAAUACCGGAUAGGAGCUCCUGCUGCAUGGUGGGGGUUGGAAAGUUUCGGCGGUUGGGGAUGGACUCGCGGCUUAUCAGCUUGUUGGUGGGGUAGUGGCUUACCAAGGCUUUGACGGGUAGCCGGCCUGAGAGGGUGACCGGCCACAUUGGGACUGAGAUACGGCCCAGACUCCUACGGGAGGCAGCAGUGGGGAAUAUUGCACAAUGGGCGGAAGCCUGAUGCAGCAACGCCGCGUGCGGGAUGACGGUCUUCGGGUUGUAAACCGCUUUCGCCUGUGACGAAGCGUGAGUGACGGUAAUGGGUAAAGAAGCACCGGCUAACUACGUG